CUUAUGGAAGGGACUUUGUGAACCAUCAGCCUACUGGAAGGUUUUGCAAUGGCAAACUGGCCACUGACAUCAGUUGGGACGAAUUCUAGGAUUGAGGUGAAAGGAUUUGGAAGAAUCAGAUAUGCCUAUUCAUUUGCAAGAUUGUUGGUGGGGAUGAUGUGGUUAACUGGAUUCUUUGAGUUAUUUGUGAUCUGAAAUUACCAGUGUCGCCCUCCAUUGUGCCGAUAUGACAUGGGACUGAAAAUAACUUCCCACUUUCGUUUGGAUGGGUAGGACAUCUUUUAGUUUAUGAUUUGAACACUUUGAAGGGAUCAAUUAUUUUUCUUCUUUUGUUGUUGAUUGAGGUGGGUUAUAGGAAUAAGGUGACAUUUUAGAGUUGAAAUUGUUAGUGUUUUUCGUGAUGCUCUUUCCUUUUCUUCUCUGUGAAAAAACAUACUAAAGUAACAACGCAAUGGUGGUGAGAAUAAGCGUUCUCAUGUAUCUAUGGAUGUGUGAUAUGAAUUAGGUGGAUGAUGUUGAAGCAUCAGUCAAUAAAAAACAAAUAGGAUCUCAGAUAUUAUACAUUAAUCCAUACAUUAGUCUUGAAAGAUUAGCUGUUGAAACAAGAACAACACACUUAUUUUGCUUUUUUGUUUAGCUGUUAAAACACAUGCCUGGCCUGCUGGACGUAUAUUUUGCUAUCGUAACUUGAAGGGCAAUGUAAGUGUUAAAUGCAUGUUGCUUAUGUUUCUCAAGAAACAGAGCAUUUAUUGCAACUGUAUCUUUUGUAAUCAGCUCAGUUGACUGUAUAUAAAAGUCGAAUUGCUUAUCUUAC